rnacentral:rRNA from 1 species
GACGUAGGGCGCAAGCGUUGUCCGGAAUUAUUGGGCGUAAAGAGCUCGUAGGCGGCUUGUUGCGUCGACUGUGAAAAACCACGACUCAACCGUGGGACUGCAGUCGAUACGGGCAGGCUAGAGUUCGGUAGGGGAGACUGGAAUUCCUGGUGUAGCGGUGAAAUGCGCAGAUAUCAGGAGGAACACCGGUGGCGAAGGCGGGUCUCUGGGCCGAUACUGACACUGAGGUACGAAAGCGUGGGGAGCGAACAGG